UUUUUUUUUUUUUUUUUUUUUUUUACAUAGUCAGUUUUGUUUUUUUUUUUGCUUAAGAAAAUUUUUCCUCAAAAUAGGUAAAUUUUUUGAAUGACGUCAUUGUUUGGUAUGUGACGUCACGAACGUCGAGUUUUCACAUUGUAUGUGACGUCACGAACGUCAAGUUUUCAUAUUUUUUGGCACACUAAAUGCAACUAUGAAAAAUACAAAACACACAUAUUAAUACAAUAAUAAACAAAAUAUUUUUAAAACAACAGC
rnacentral:lncRNA from 1 species